AAGAGAAUCAUGAUCCCGCCCCAAAACUUAAAGCAUGAAACAAAGUUCAACACAGUGUCGAACAGUUCUGUCGGGCUGUUUUAUUGAGACUUUAUGCGAUAGAAAAAAAAAACGAAUUAAGGCAUUUUGAGAUUAAGGCAAGUGCAUCUAUCCAUCAAUACAGUCGUAGUCUAUACCUGCUCAGUCUUGGAUGGUUGCAGAGGGUUUAUGCUUAUCACCAGCAGUCUUUGGACAACAGGUGAGGUAUAUACCUUACAGGAAAUACAUGCUUACUUUAGAUUUCAAAUAAAAAUCUGAAUUGUGGAGUGUAUUUCUAUCAACUCUUAAAAAAAAAAAAAAAAAGUGAACAAAAUGUAUGCAGUUUUGAAGUCGAUGGAAAGUGCUACAUGACUGCACUUUACCCGGAACAGACCAUUGUCACAAGUGGUGUAUGCUGUGGAGAAAACAAAUCCUGUCAUAUCCUGCAAAAGACUCAACACUGGACCUUCCAGCAGGAGAACAACCCUAACUAUGCAGCAAGAGCUCCAGUGGAAUGGUUUAUAUGUAUGAACAUUAAUAUGUUAAAAAGCUCAGGCCUAAAUUCAAUUGCAAGCCUUUUGGAAAACUUAUAAAAUGGUGUCUACAGAUGCUCUCUAUCCUCUAGCUAUCUCACAAGGAGGAACAGGUAAAAAAAUAAAAAAUAAAAAUCAGUGUCGAUUUACAAGAGGCGUACUCCAAAGACUCCAAAAAA